rnacentral:rRNA from 1 species
AAGACCUCAGGUCAGGCGGGACUAC